rnacentral:tRNA from 4 species
GGAGAGUUGUCCGAGCUGGUCGAAGGAGCACGAUUGGAAAUCGUGUAACCGCCUAAAACGGUUCGAGGGUUCGAAUCCCUUGCUCUCCGCCA